CGCCGCGCCACCUUCCUGAUCAAGUGAGCACAGCACAACAAGAUUGACAUGCUAAAAUGGCCACUGAGGGGGCCCAUCCUCUCUAACCCUGCCAGAUCUCUUCAACCUGAGUACAGCAUGAGGCACCCUGGGGUGAUGCAGGAGAAGACAAGUGAGCUUCAGUGGGCCCUCCUGAUGGGCGAGCAGGACAUACAGGAGGAGGAGGAGUAGUGGUAUGGGGAUGAGGGAGUUCACAGGGUAGAGCAGGACAUACAGGAGGAGGAGGAGGAGUGGUAUGGGGAUGAGGGAGUUCACAGGGUAGAGCAGGACAUACAGGAGGAGGAGGAGUGGUAUGGGGAUGAGGGAGUUCACAGGGUAGAGCAGGACAUACAGGAGGAGGAGGAGUGGUAUGGGGAUGAGGGAGUUCACAGGGUAGAGCAGGACAUACAGGAGGAGGAGGAGUGGUAUGGGGAUGAGGGAGUUCACAGGGUAGAGCAGGACAUACAGGAGGACUGGUAUGGGGAUGAGGGAGUUCACAGGGUAGAGCAGGACAUACAGGAGGUGGAGGAGUGGUAUGGGGAUGAGGGAGUUCACAGGGUAGAGCAGGACAUACAGGAGGUGGAGGAGUGGUAUGGGGAUGAGGGAGUUCACAGGGUAUGUUGGGAUGGAGCUGUCUGAGCUAUU